rnacentral:tRNA from 1 species
GAGAUUAUAGCUCAGUGGUAGAGCGCAUGCUUAGCAUGCACAAGGUCCUGGGUUCAAUCCCCGGUAUCUUCA